rnacentral:lncRNA from 1 species
CGGGGAAGACCGGGUGAAACCCCUGGUCAAAUAGAAAUAUCUAGCGUUUUCGUAUUUAAGGAAAAACGAUCUUUGACCUAUACCAACAGGGAAACUCCUCACUCAAGUGGAAAUUACCAGACCAAAACCACUUGGUUGUAUUUUUUUUAGAAAACUUAUUUUCAGUUCAUAUAUACGAUUAACGAUAUUUUUUACCAUUCAUAAUAUUCAUGGUUUUCACGUUGUUGGCCAAAACUUAUAGUGAGACUCGAC